rnacentral:rRNA from 1 species
UACAGAGGUCCCGAGCGUUGUUCGGAUUCACUGGGCGUAAAGGGUGCGUAGGCGGUCGGGGUAAGUCUGAUGUGAAAUCUCACAGCUUAACUGUGAAACUGCAUUGGAUACUAUUCGGCUUGAGGUGCUGGAGGGGGGACUGGAAUUCUCGUGUAGCAGUGAAAUGCGUAGAUAUCGAGAGGAACACCAGUGGCGAAGGCGAGUCCUGUGAGCUUCCUGACGCUGAGGCACGAAAGCCGGUAGGCAAACGGG